rnacentral:pre_miRNA from 1 species
AUACUACUCCCUCCGUCCGGAAAUACUUGUCCUAAAAAUGGUUGUAUCUAGACUUAUUUUAGUUAUAGAUACAUCCAUUUUAUCCAUUUUUAGGACAAGUAUUUUCGAACGGAGGAAGUAGUAU